rnacentral:rRNA from 1 species
UAUCCUACGGGACGCAGCAGUGAGGAAUAUUGGUCAAUGGGCGCGAGCCUGAACCAGCCAAGUCGCGUGAGGGAGGACGGCCCUACGGGUUGUAAACCUCUUUUGCCGGGGAGCAACGGGCGUCACGUGUGGCGCCACUGAGAGUACCCGGAGAAAAAGCAUCGGCUAACUCCGUGCCAGCAGCCGCGGUAAUACGGAGGGUGCGUGCGUUAAUCGGAAUUACUGGGCGUAAAGCGCUCGUAGGGGGCAUGUCGAGUCAAGGGUGAAAUCCCUGCGCUCAACGUGG